AAGUCAUGUCGAGGGCAAUUCUGUAGCAUCCUUUUGUAACGCUCCCAAGCUUCAUAUAGAGACUCCCCAUCGAGUUGUUGAAAAUUAUGAAUUGUAUUUUUCAAUUU